GAAAAAUUUUAUGUGGAAGCUUGUGAUGAUGGAGCAGAUGAUGUACUUACCAUUGACCGUGUAUCCACAGAGGUUACACUCGCAGUCAAGAAAGAUGUUCCUCCUUCAGCUGUCACAAGACCAAUAUUUGGUAUAUUGGGUACAAUCCAUCUGGUGGCAGGUAAUUAUCUUAUUGUCAUUACCAAAAAGACGAAAAUAGGUGAAUUUUUCAAUCAUGUAAUCUGGAAAGCAACUGAUUUUGAUGUCCUUUCUUAUAAGAAGACAAUGUUGCACUUGACUG